UACGGAGAGUGCGAACGUUGUUCGGAUUCACUGGGCGUAAAGGGCACGUAGGCGGCUCGGCAAAUCGGUCGUGGAAUCCCGGCGCUUACCGUCGGAACGGCGGCCGAAAAUACCGAGCUAGAGGGCGUGAGGGGUCACUGGAACUCCUGGUGAAGCGGUGAAAUGCGUAGAUAUCAGGAGGAACGCCGGAGGCGAAAGCGAGUGACUGGCGCGUUCCUGACGCUGAGGUGCGAAAGCUAGGGGAGCAAACAGG
rnacentral:rRNA from 1 species